rnacentral:lncRNA from 10 species
UUCAGUUUCCCCCCAUGUUGAGGCUCUUAGGCUUUUCUCCUGAAUCUCUCCAUCUCCUUAUAAGCUCCUUGUGCUGGGACCGUGACCUCCGUACAUCUGGAAUUUCUACAGCCUUGACACCACUGCCUGCCCACGGACUGAUUCAUGGACAGGCAGGCCGCCACCCAGGAUAAAGGAAGAUUUGCUCCUUUUUUUUUUUUUUUUUUUUUUUGAGACAGAGUUUCAUUCUUGCUGCCACGCUGGAGCCUCUCAAGUAGCUGGGAAUAGAGGCGUGCACCACGAUGCCCAGCUAAUUUUUGUACUUUUUAGUAGAGACGGGGUUUCACCAUGUUGGCCAGGCUGGUCUCGAACCCCUGACCUCAGGUGAUCCUCCCGCCUUGGCCUCCCAAAGUGCUGGGAUUACAGGUGUGAGCCAUCGCGCCCAGCCGAGAUUUGCUCUAAAUCACUCUUCUCCGCAUCAAGGGUUCUCCCACCUGUGCUUAUCCUCCCUGCUUCCCUCACACACAUUCUAAUACUCUCUCACUUUCACCCCGUCUUAUAUUCUCCUUAAGCUUGCUUCGUUAGCCGACACACAUUCUAGAAAUCUUCCUCUUUUUCUUUAUCCUCUUAAUCUUUUCUUCUUUUCUUGCCCUCCCAACAUACGGUUCACACCCCCAUAUCACACCCCUCAAACUCUCCAUAUCCAUGUCCCCUUACACUCACACCCCCUACACACACGCACCCCUAUAACUAGAUAUCCAUCCCACAUACACUAGGACCCUCUGUGUCUCUCCCUGCCUCUUCACUGAGGAAACCCAGCCUUUGUAAAAUCAGGCUGAGCAGGCCAGCUGAAGACUGCCCAUCUGAUUGCAAUGCUAUUGAGGGAUGAAUAUGUCCAGGCUCUAGAGCUCAUGGAAUUCCUUCAACCCCUCAAGCAGCAUUGAAUUUGAGCUGCACAAAGAAGAAAGAAAAAGAGAAAAAGCAAGCUGAUCGCAGGUGACAACUGGAGUUCCCUAGCAAGCCACAUCAUGAGUGGCAGAGCCUUCCUGCAGCCCUGGACCACUCAGCUAUAGACUUUCACAUGAGAGAGAAAAACAAUCCUCCGCAGUUUAAGCAGCUGUGUUUUGAGUCUUUCUGUGAGAGGAAAUUAACCGUUAGUCUAACCAAUAUGGAAAUCUUCCUAUAAGGAUCUAAGAAGUUAGAAAGUAAUUAAUACUAUCAUCAGGAAAAAAGUUAGAAACAGCAAUGGGAUUGUAUUGAAAGAAGACAGGCUAAGGAGCCUGGCAGACCUGGAUUUGAAUCCCAGCUCUGUUGCUUACCAGUUCUGUAAUUUUUUUUGUUUUUGGUUUUGUUUUUUGGUUUUUUUGUUUUUUGUUUUUUGUUUUUGAGACAAUGUCUCCCUCUGUCACCCAGGCUGGAGUGCAGUGGGCUGAUCUCGGCUCACAGCAACCUCUGGGUUCAAGUGAUUCUCCCAUCUCAGCCUCCCAACUAGCUGGUACUACAGGUGCACACCACCAUGCCUGGCUAAUUUUUUGUAUUAACGGAUCAUUUACCCUGUGUCUGUUUGCUCAUCUAUAAAAUAGCAAAAUGCUAUCUGGUUUAGUUGUGAAGAAGAGAUCAAGAUGGAAAAGUGCCUGACUACUCAGUAGAUGGCAGUUGUGGUUAUUAUUCAAAAUGCAUCAUUGAAAGAAUCAAUUCAAGGAGGACUUAAGCAGUAGGACUCAAGGAGGAGAGGCAUUUUUAUUAUUUUCAUGUGUGGGGCAAUAGCUCUCAACUUCAGAGCCUCCAGCAUUCCCAAGUUCCAACCAAUGUGAGAGAGAAGGUGGUUAGCAAAAUGACUAAAAGCCCAAAGGGGAACCAAAAACAGAAAUACCUUAACAUAAAGGAGUGACUUUCGCGGGACUGGGAUCAGGAGACAUUUCUUUCUGGUCCUAGAGUCAAGAAGAAUUGUGCCUAAUGGACACUGUAAAUUUUAUAGCUGAGCAAGUCUCCCUCUUGGCCUUGACUGCUGAAAAACUCAAAGCCAAAUUUGACUCCUGGAAAAUGCAAAGGUGUUACACCUAGCUGGUAAGACAAGCUCUUUUCUGUUUGCUUAAUUCCUGACUUCAUCUUACAUCUCUAACCUGAAUGAUUUUUUUUCUCUUUCUUGCUUCUUCCAAUUUGUGUUCUCUCCUGGUAUAUUAUGAAUUCCUAUAAGACUCUUAAAUUUUUUCUUGGAGCAAAGAAUGAAUGAAUGGAUGGAUGGGUAAAUGAGGGAAUAACAUCCUCACAGAUGGUCAGUCCAAUUGCCUAAUCUUGAUAUUUGCAGUGAUUAGAAGCUCCCCAUCUGAUAAAAUAGUCCAUUUCAGCUUCAUUAUUAGAAUAUUCUGGCUUACACAGUUGAUAUCUGCUUCCUUAUAGGAAAUAAUAAUAUUAUUCAUAACAAGAGGAAUUUUUUGUUUUUUUGUUUGUGUUUGCUUGUUUUUUAGAGGCAGGGUCUCACUCUCACCCAGGCUGCAAUGCAGGGGCACAGUCACAGCUCACUGCAGCCUCAAAUUCCUUGGGGACUACUCAAGCAAUCCUCCUGUCUCACCCUCCCAAGUAGCUGGGACUACAGGUGCAGCCACUUUGAAAAACAGUCUACCUUUUGCUCAAAAGGUUAAACAUAGAGUUAUUGUAUAAUCCGUCAAUUCUACUCCUAGGUGUAUACCCAAGAUAAAUGAAAACAUAUGUCCACAAAAAACCCACUUUGUACACAAAUGUUUAUCGCAACAUUAUUCACAAUAGUAAAACAACCCAAAUGCACAACUGAAGAAUGGAUAAUGAAAUGAGGUAUCUUCAUGCAAUGGAAUAUUUUUCAGCAAUAAAGAGAAAUGAAAUACGAUACAUACUACAAAAUGGAUGAAACUUGAAAACUUGAGGUUAAGUGAAAGAAUCCAGUCACAAAAGACCACAUACUAUAUUAUUCUAUCUGUAUGAAAUACCAAGAAUAGACAAAUAGAUAGACACAGAAAGUAGUUUAGUGGUUACCUAGGUCUGCGGUUGGAGUGGGGUGCCAGAUGUUGGGGGAAAAUAUAGAGCAACUGCUAAUGGAUAUGGAGGUUCUUUUAGGGGUGAUGAAAUUGCAAAAUUGAUUGUGGUGAUGGUUGCACAACUUUGUGACUAUACUAAAAACAAUCGAUUUGUAUAUUUU